ensembl:lncRNA
GAGGUAGAGAGGGAGAGUAAGACACGAACCGAUCUGGAGGCAGAACCCCUCCAAGGGGCAGAGGACCUCUUUACAGAUGGGUGCUGUUUCAGACAAGAACAGGAUGGGCUGAGGCCUUUGCGGUAGUGAAACUAACACCAGAGGGUCUAGUCACAGUGAAAGCAGAGAGGCUCCAGAGGCUGCAGACAGCCCAGAGAGCAGAAGUGAGAGCAGUGAUAGAGGCCCUCAGGCAAGCCAAGGGGAAGAGAGUAAACAUUUACACAGAUUCGGCAUACGCGGUAGGCGCAGCGCACGUGGAGCUAGAACAGUGGUUAAAAGCCGGGUUUAGAACAGCAGGGGACAAACCGAAUAAACAUGAGGUGGAGAUGAGAGAGCUUGCCGAGGCCCUGGACCUGCCCGAAAAGAAUUCACCAACAGAGUCGGAGAACGGAGGAACCUGCACCCGCUGCACCAGAACCUGCCCCAGGCGGAGUGGGUGCUGCUGACGGUCAUCAAGUGAAUGUGGUCGGAGCCAAGAUGGACGGAGCCUCAUCAGGUGGUGGAGAGAACAAGUCAUGCGGUCCGCCUGAGGGACAAAGGAGAGACCUGGUACCAUUGUACACCAGCGCAGGAGCCAGGGAGGUCGCUGACGGACCUCAUCCAAACCGGGAAGGAGGAGCUUGCCCCACUGUGGAUGGAAGGAGAACCAAAACCAGCCGGACCGUUGCCAGGAGUGGACCCCAGGAUACUGCGGGACUACGAGCGAGAGAAGGAGACAAAGGACGGCGCAAGGGGAAUAGACUUUUAGGGGAAGGAACUAAAGAAUACUGUAACAAAAGGGGGUUUAGGACACCGAGUGGCUCCUACCACUCGUACCAAGAUGACAGGGUUACAGAGAAAGGUCUGGGGAGAUGAUAAUAGAAUGAAGUGGUACAUGGACAUUGGUGGAAUAAUGAUGUGUGUUGUAUGUUGUUACAGGUUUCCCAGGUUGGCAUCGGGUCUUCAUUCCCCCAGCGAAGAGGUUCGCGACCCCACCUGAGGACACCUGCUUGAGGAAAUUUGGGGGCAUUGAAUUGGACUAUGUCAAGGGGUCACAUACGAGCAUUCUGGGAUAGAUAAUCCGCUGGAGGAAUGGAUGACCUCGAUAUUUGGCCAGUGGAAAGGUUUGAUAAUGUCUGUUCUUUUAUCACUUGCUACAUUUUGUGCUAUAAUGGUUACUUGUUGUAUCCCAUGCAUAAGAGAGCUCGCCAUGAGAGUGAUCUCUACAGCCAUUGAGAAGGCUCCAGGACCGCCACCAGGGAUGCUGAUGCCUCUACUGGAGCAGCAUGACCUGGGAAAACUGGAGCUUGGCGAAUAGGGGUGAUCUCUCUGGGGAGAGAUCAAAAGGGGGAAUUGUGGAUACAUUGAGUGUAUAAGCUGUCAAACUGUUGUGAGCAUUGAAGCAAAAUGUUGAGUGUCUGUAGCAUAAGCUGAAACUGAAAGUUGCAAGUAGAAAACAGGAAAUCUUAUUUAGGCUAUUUCUAGGAGCAGAAUGAGCUUGUGUGUCAGAUUAAGAAUAGACAAGACAGAAACCACAAUGUGCAAAGAUGACGCUUGUACUGCAUUUACACAUAUAAGGUAUAGAACAUAAACUGGACCAAUGGCACACAUGCUUGGCAUAUUCAACCCCCACUUUUAGGCGUGUUUGAAGUAUAAAUAAUGCUGAUGUGACUGCUGAAUUUCGGACAUUGUGAGGUGACACUCUGUCUCCAGAAGCUUCUGUAAUAAACGGAAUAUACGCGAUGG